UACGUAGGGGGCAAGCGUUGUCCGGAUUUAUUGGGCGUAAAGAGCGUGUAGGCGGUUCGGUAGGUCCGUUGUGAAAACUCGAGGCUCAACCUCGAGACGCCGAUGGAAACCCUCGAACUAGAGUCCGGAAGAGGAGAGUGGAAUUCCUGGUGUAGCGGUGAAAUGCGCAGAUAUCAGGAAGAACACCCGUGGCUAAGGCGGCUCUCUAGUACGGUACUGACGCUGAGACGCGAAAGCGUGGGGAGCGAGCAGG
rnacentral:rRNA from 1 species